rnacentral:rRNA from 1 species
UACGGAGGGUGCGAGCGUUGUUCGGAAUCACUGGGCGUAAAGCGCGUGUAGGCGGCCCACUAAGUCUGAUGUGAAAGCCCGGGGCUCACCCCCGGAAGUGCAUUGGAAACUGGUGGACUCGAGUCCCGGAGAGGAGAGUGGAAUUCCUGGUGUAGCGGUGAAAUGCGUAGAUAUCAGGAGGAACACCGGUGGCGAAGGCGGCUCCCUGGACGGUGACUGACGCUGAGACGCGAAAGCGUGGGGAGCAAACAGG